rnacentral:tRNA from 1 species
GCCAGAGGGGUGUAGUGGUUUGGGCACUGAAUUGCAACUCUGGAGACCAGGGUUCGAAUCCCUGCUCAGCCA